UUUUCAGUAUUGCCAAGUCCUGGACCAGUUUGUGUACAGGUCUCUGGCCAACUGUGUCACCUCUUCUGCAUUUCACCUGCACCGUCAAAUGCGGAGGACUGGAGGCACUGAGAGACUGAUGCAAACUCUGGAGAGAAACUGAGGCUCCUAAAGGUACUGUUUACCACAAUGAACACACUUUUAUCAUGUCAACAACUUCCAUCUCUACAUUGCCCUGUGUAAGAAUAUACUGGGAGCUGAUAUAACCUCAAUGAUGGUAAAACAGGAUGUAGAAUCCAGAAAACAUUCCUGAAAUGGACCAAACAUCAAUAUUCUGAAACAGAAGUGGAAAUGAAACUGAAACAGAAAAAGUGAAUUGGGUAAUAAAUAUACUAAAGAACAAUUUUUCUAAUAGUUGGCAGAAGGUGGUAAGGUAAGUUCAAAAAGUUCAUCUGUGAGUAAAGGCACAUUAUUGUGAGGUGGCUUUCUUAACAGAUUCAGGAAUCUUUAUUCAGAAUCUUCAUACACUGUGUUUGUGCAUGCUAUGAAAUCCUAGUGGUAGAAAUAUAUUUUAGGGUUGGGAUCUAAGUUAAACAGUGGUAGAAUGGAUUUGACAUAUUCACGUGAUUGGCUUUGUCAGAAAUGUGUCUGAAAACUUGCCAGACCAAUCGCGUCAGUGUCAUUUGCAAUAAUCCAGAUGACAGAGUAUGUCAGUGAAAUAUUUCCCCAGAAUGUGGGAGCAUCAUCAGCUGUCUCAGUGUAGGCUAUUUUUACUAUAGGAAGUGAAAAUGUUUAUCUUCCAUCUUGUAAUACAGAAAGGCAAACUGUAUUGUCAUAAUAUAAAUACUCAGUGGCCAUGAAUUUUGAGACUAUGAGAAGAAACAAUAGAAUAUAAGAUUCUAAUAUGGCUAUUUAUGAAAAAAAAAUAGAGAAGAUAAAUCAGAGUUGAAGCAUUCAAUUAUGCAAAUGAGCAAGAGAAGUUUGCUCAUAACAGAGAGACAGCAAGUUAUAAUAUAAAGACCAUCGGGGCUGGGCGCGGUAGCUCACGCCUGUAAUCCCGACACUUUGGGAGGCCGAGGCUGGUGGAUCACGAGGUCAGGAGAUCGAGACCAGCCUGGCCAAUAUG
rnacentral:lncRNA from 1 species